rnacentral:lncRNA from 1 species
UUUCCCCCACUUCCCUCAUUCUUCUCUCUUCUGCAGCCUUGUGAAGAAGGACAUGUUUUCUUCCCCUUCCACCAUGAUUGGCCUCCCAAGCCCUGUGGAACGGGAUUCAUCAUGAAUAUCCAUAAUAUGGUUUCUAAAAAUGCAUGAAGGAAUCAGAGGAGACCUGCUAACCAUGAAAAGAAGAGCAUAGCAAUAGAGAACCAAAGUGGCACAAGAAUGAUCAUCUUUGAAUAAUUUAGAAUCAAAUAACAUCAAAUCAACAAACACUUAUUGAAGCUCUCCAUCUUUCCAUCCUUGAUUCCUGUGUUAUUCAGCAUUUUUGGUAGGUUUCCAGCAGGCAGCCUUCUCUCAAAAGUACUGUUAGGUUGUAAUGUUUGCAAGUGCUGUCUUCAGGCUCUCUUACUGCUGAUGAGUAUCAAUCACAUAAAAUUGUGUAAACUCCUGCUUCAUAAAAAAGCAAGAGGCAAAAAUCUUCCUGCUUGGCAUUUCAAUGAAGUUGAAUUCAAUGUCAUGAUAGCAGUAAAUAUAAAUUGAUUUCUAGUAUAAUAACCAAUAAGGAGACCCUAAGUUUCUCUCAGAACCCAGAUAGCAUGUAAUAAAUUCUCCAUAUCUUGACAAAUUUUUAAACAAAGUAUUUUAGCUCUUCUUCCAGCUUUCAAAAUAUGCAUUAAAACCAGAAGACAAAGACUUAAAUCCAAAUGCAGUAUCAUCAUAUGGCAAUGUCACAUAAUUGCAUGAAAAAGUUGAUUCUAAAUUAUAAAAUUCAUUAUAAAUAAAAGGUGAGAAUGCAGUGAUAUAUAGUGUAGUGGUACCAGACAACAUGAGUUGAAAUCCUAAAUUAACCGCUUAAUAGAUGCAUAACCUUGUCAUAUUUCUUAACAUAUGUGUGCUUCAUUUUCUUUGUCUGUAAAUAAGAAUAAUGGUAACUACUUUAUAGGAUAGUUGCAAAAAUUCUAUGGAUUAAUAAUGCCUGGCACAUAGUAAGCGCCAAAAAUUGUGUUUGUCAUUAUUAGUAGUAUUGCUAGUACUAUUACUCCUAUGAAUAAAAGACUCCAUGAGCAAUUAGGAAAAUAAAGUGAUGCUUACCAGGAGUCAAUAUGUAUUCAGCAU